UACGAAGGGGGCUAGCGUUGUUCGGAAUCACUGGGCGUAAAGCGUAUGUAGGCGGAUUGUUAAGUCAGGGGUGAAAUCCCGAGGCUCAACCUCGGAACUGCCUUUGAUACUGGCUUUCUUGAGUUCGGGAGAGGUGAGUGGAACUCCUAGUGUAGAGGUGAAAUUCGUAGAUAUUAGGAAGAACACCGGUGGCGAAGGCGGCUUCCUGGCCCGUACCUGACGCUGAGGCGCGAAAGCGUGGGGAGCAAACAGG
rnacentral:rRNA from 1 species